rnacentral:rRNA from 1 species
AUUGAACGCUGGCGGCAUGCCUUACACAUGCAAGUCGAACGGCAGCAUGAUCUAGCUUGCUCGAUUGAUGGCGAGUGGCGAACGGGUGAGUAAUACAUCGGAACGUGCCCUGUAGUGGGGGAUAACUAGUCGAAAGAUUAGCUAAUACCGCAUACGGCCUGAGGGUGAAAGUGGGGGACCGCAAGGCCUCAUGCUAUAGGAGCGGCCGAUGUCUGAUUAGCUAGUUGGUGAGGUAAAGGCUCACCAAGGCGACGAUCAGUAGCUGGUCUGAGAGGACGAUCAGCCACACUGGGACUGAGACACGGCCCAGACUCCUACGGGAGGCAGCAGUGGGGAAUUUUGGACAAUGGGCGAAAGCCUGAUCCAGCAAUGCCGCGUGUGUGAAGAAGGCCUUCGGGUUGUAAAGCACUUUUGUCCGGAAAGAAAUGGCUCUGGUUAAUACCUGGGGUCGAUGACGGUACCGGAAGAAUAAGGACCGGCUAACUACGUG